AACGAACGCUGGCGGCAGGCUUAACACAUGCAAGUCGAGCGCCCCGCAAGGGGAGCGGCAGACGGGUGAGUAACACGUGGGAAUCUACCCAUCCCUACGGAACAACUCCGGGAAACUGGAGCUAAUACCGUAUACGCCCUUCGGGGGAAAGAUUUAUCGGGGAUGGAUGAGCCCGCGUUGGAUUAGCUAGUUGGUGGGGUAAAGGCCUACCAAGGCGACGAUCCAUAGCUGGUCUGAGAGGAUGAUCAGCCACAUUGGGACUGAGACACGGCCCAAACUCCUACGGGAGGCAGCAGUGGGGAAUAUUGGACAAUGGGCGCAAGCCUGAUCCAGCCAUGCCGCGUGAGUGAUGAAGGCCUUAGGGUUGUAAAGCUCUUUCACCGGUGAAGAUAAUGACGGUAACCGGAGAAGAAGCCCCGGCUAACUUCGUGCCAGCAGCCGCCGUAAUAC
rnacentral:rRNA from 1 species